AGAACGAACGCUGGCGGCAGGCCUCAAACAUGCAAGUCUAGGGGGUGUAGCAAUACAUCACCGGCGGACGGGUGCGUAACGCGUGGGAAUAUACCUAUUGGUUCGGAACAACUGAGGGAAACUUCAGCUAAUACCGAAUGUGCCCGUAAGGGGAAAGAUUUAUCGCCAAUAGAUUAGCCCGCGUAGGAUUAGCUAGUUGGUGGGGUAAUGGCCCACCAAGGCUCCGAUCCUUAGCUGUUCUGAGAGGAAGAUCAGCCACACUGGGACUGAGACACGGCCCAGACUCCUACGGGAGGCAGCAGUUGGGAAUCUUGGACAAUGGGGGAAACCCUGAUCCAGCCAUGCCGCGUGAGUGAUGAAGGCCUUCGGGUUGUAAAACUCUUUCGACGGGACGAUAAUGACGGUACCCGUAGAAGAAGCUCCGGCUAACUUCGUGCCAGCAGCCGC
rnacentral:rRNA from 1 species